GAUGAACGCUAGCGGGAGGCCUAACACAUGCAAGCCGAGCGGUAUUUGCUCUUCGGAACAGAGAGAGCGGCGCACGGGUGCGGAACACGUGUGCAACCUGCCUUUAUCUGGGGGAUAGCCUUUCGAAAGGAAGAUUAAUACCCCAUAAUAUAUUGAGUGGCAUCCUUUGAUAUUGAAAACUCCGGUGGAUAGAGAUGGGCACGCACAAGAUUAGAUAGUUGGUGAGGUAACGGCUCACCAAGUCAAUGAUCUUUAGGGGGCCUGAGAGGGUGAUCCCCCAGACUGGUACUGCGGCACGGACCAGACUCGUAGGGGAGGCAGCAGUGAGGAAUACUGGACAAUGGGUUAGCGCCUGAUCCAGCCAUCCCGCGUGAAGGACGACGGCCCUAGGGGUUGUAAACUUCUUUUGUAUAGGGAUAAACCUACUCUCGUGAGAGUAGCUGAAGGUACUAUACGAAUAAGCACCGGCUAACUCCGUG
rnacentral:rRNA from 1 species